rnacentral:rRNA from 1 species
UGCGUAGGCGGACUAAUAAGUCAGUGGUGAAAUCUUUCGGCUCAACCGAGAAACUGCCAUUGAUACUGUUAGUCUUGAGUUCGGUUGAGGUAGGCGGAAUGUGUAAUGUAGCGGUGAAAUGCUUAGAUAUUACACAGAACACCAAUUGCGUAGGCAGCUUACUAGACCGACACUGACGCUGAGACACGAAAGCGUGGGGAGCGAACAGGAUUAGAUACCCUGGUAGUCC